rnacentral:lncRNA from 1 species
CAUGGAUCUCACAGAGAGGCCAGCAUUGGAGGUUACCAGUUGUUUUGCAGAUUUUGACUGAAAAGUUUUAUCCAGAAUAACCUAACCAGAGGAACUAAAAAGGGAAAAUGCAGGCUCCUCCUGAGACUUGCAUCUCCAUCACCGCAAGUCGAUACUCAUUUGCUCUCUUCGAGGUCCAUAGCAUCAGCCUGCGGUACCGCAUCAGAGGUGGCCUCAUUGUCCGUGUGCUUAAGGGGGAAGCACAAUUCCAAGUGUCAGAAUCAUAUGGUCUCUGGUCCCCGUGUGCCUGCAACCUGAAGAAAAUCAAUAGCAAUUUUUAUAAAUGACUAUUUUCC